GGUACGUACUGGCAUUGUUGGUUUCUCCCUUCUGACGAACCAUGAUGUCAUUUAUUUGGUGUUGUGGGGAAUCAGGACUGUUACUUUGAAAAAAUUAGAGUGUUUAAAGCAGGCUCACGCUUGAACACAUUAGCAUGGAAUAAUGAAAUAGGACGUUUGAUUCUAUUUUGUUGGUUUCUAGGAUCGACGUAAUGAUUAAUAGGGAUAGUUGGGGGCAUUAGUAUUCAAUUGUCAGAGGUGAAAUUCUUGGAUUUAUUGAAGACUAACUACUGCGAAAGCAUUUGCCAAGGAUGUUUUCAUUAAUCAAGAACGAAGGUUAGGGGAUCGAAGACGAUCAGAUACCGUCGUAGUCUUAACCAUAAACUAUGCCGACUAGGGAUCGGAUGAUGUUAAUUUUUUAAUGACUCAUUCGGCGCCUUACG
rnacentral:rRNA from 1 species